rnacentral:rRNA from 1 species
GAUGAACGCUGGCGGCGUGCUUAACACAUGCAAGUCGAACGGAAAGGCUCCUGCUUGCCGGGGUACUCGAGUGGCGAACGGGUGAGUAACACGUGGGUGAUCUGCCCUGCACUUCGGGAUAAGCCUGGGAAACUGGGUCUAAUACCGGAUAGGACCACAUUUUGGAUGGUGUGGUGGAAAGUUUUUCGGUGUGGGAUGAGCUCGCGGCCUAUCAGCUUGUUGGUGGGGUAAUGGCCUACCAAGGCGUCGACGGGUAGCCGGCCUGAGAGGGUGUACGGCCACAUUGGGACUGAGAUACGGCCCAGACUCCUACGGGAGGCAGCAGUGGGGAAUAUUGCACAAGGGGCGCAAGCCUGAUGCAGCGACGCCGCGUGGGGGAUGACGGCCUUCGGGUUGUAAACUCCUUUCGCUAGGGACGAAGCGCAAGUGACGGUACCUGGAGAAGAAACACCGGCUAACUACGU